UACCAGACUCCUACGGGAGGCAGCAGUGGGGAAUAUUGCACAAUGGGCGCAAGCCUGAUGCAGCCAUGCCGCGUGUAUGAAGAAGGCCUUCGGGUUGUAAAGUACUUUCAGCGGGGAGGAAGGCGAUAAGGUUAAUAACCUUGUCGAUUGACGUUACCCGCAGAAGAAGCACCGGCUAACUCCGUGCCAGCAGCCGCGGUAAUACGGAGGGUGCAAGCGUUAAUCGGAAUUACUGGGCGUAAAGCGCACGCAGGCGGUCUGUCAAGUCGGAUGUGGAAUCCCCGGGCUCAACCUGGGAACUUCAUUCGAAACUGGCAGGCUGGAGUCUUGGAGAGGGGAGUAGAAUUCCAGGUGUAGCGGGGAAAUGCGUAGAGAUCUGGAGGAAUACCGGUGGCGGAGGCGGCCCCCUGGACAAAGACUGACGCUCAGGUGCGAAAGCGUGGGGAGCAAACAGGAUUAGAUACCCGCGUAC
rnacentral:rRNA from 1 species